CGGGACGUGGCGCAGCUUGGUAGCGCACUUGACUGGGGGUCAAGGGGUCGUGGGUUCAAAUCCCGCCGUCCCGA
rfam:Streptomyces sp. F-3 DNA, scaffold: Scaffold143_014.